GGAAUUGGAUCAGCCGGUAUGACGUGGCGGAGACAAAUCGCGUUUGGUCGAUCGCAGUUGUUGCAGAUCUGUUGGCGACGAUGCGCAUCUGGCUCGCUCCUCCAUCGUCACUGCUCUGUCCCGCGAGCGAAUCCGAGAUUAAUGGAAAUGUCGAUACGUCGUCGUUUGGUAUAUUAGUGGUAUUGCAUCGUUUUAACUAAGGUUGUGAAUGGUGACCAAAACCGCACUCAAAACCGCACCGCAACAGUGCUGUAACAGUAUCAAAAUCUCUACAUAUACAUAUGUAUCUAUGUAUUUUCGUAACUAUUUGAACCAUACCGCACUUCUCCCGCACCGCAAAACGCAGUCACCAUUCAGAGCCUAAGUUGUGAACGACGUCGUUUGCGCUAUUAGCAACUAUGAUGCCAAGUGUUGGAAAGAAUG
rnacentral:sRNA from 1 species